AUGUUCAACUGCCACAUAAAUGUUGAGAUAUGCUCGAGCAUUAAAGUUGUUAAGUACUUGUUCAAGUACAUCUAUAAGGGACAUGACCGAGCAUCUGUAUCUGUAACUGACAAAGUAGACGAAGUCGAAAUUGACGAGAUUAAACAGUACAGAGACGCGCGGUGGGUGACACCUCCGGAAGCACUCUGGAGAAUAUAUGGCUUCGAAUUAAGCAAAAUACACCCACCAGUCUUGCAACUGCAGCUACAUCUUCCAAAUAUGCACAUGGUUUCAUACCAUGGCAUGGAAAAAAUAAAGAAUAUUAUCGACCAUGAUGGCACAGAAAGAUCAAUGUUGACCGCGUACUUUGAAGCAAACAGCUUACAUGAGAAAGCACGAGGCAUACUAUACAGAGGCUUUCAGGAAUAUUAUACUUGGCAAAGACAAGGGAAGUUUUGGCAAGAGAGGAAACGAGCCGCUGUGUUCCAGGUUGGCAGGAUGGUCUCGGCACACCCGGCUGAAGGAGAACGAUAUUAUCUUCGAGUACUCCUAAACCACGUGACAGGCGCCACCAGCUACGAAGACCUACGAACAGUCCAUGGACAAGUAAUGCCAACCUUCCGUGAAGCUGCAGAAAAACGGGGGCUCAUUGAGGCAGACAACACACUAGAUGACUGCAUGACAGAAGCAGAGUUGUUUCGAAUGCCAUCAUCACUACGAAGGCUAUUCGCGACAAUCUUGGUUUUCUGUGAACCCAGCGAUGUACGUGGCCUAUGGAACAAACACCUUGACGCAAUGUCAGAAGACUACAGCAGAAACUGCAAAUGCAAGCACACAGUCGAACAGAUGGUGCUGAGAAAUAUCAGGGACAUGUGGCACUCAAUGGGAAAAGACAUAUAA
rnacentral:rRNA from 1 species